rnacentral:rRNA from 1 species
UACAGAGGGGGCAAGCGUUGUUCGGAAUUACUGGGCGUAAAGGGCGCGUAGGCGGCCGCCUAAGUCAGACGUGAAAUCCCUCGGCUUAACCGGGGAACGGCGUCCGAUACUGGAUGGCUUGAGUUUGGGAGAGGGAUGCGGAAUUCCAGGUGUAGCGGUGAAAUGCGUAGAUAUCUGGAGGAACACCGGUGGCGAAGGCGGCAUCCUGGACCAAGACUGACGCUGAAUAGCGAAAGCCAGGGGAGCAAACGGG